AAAAUUUAAAUUUAACAUACUAAAAUAGUAGAUAAAUAUUUAUUGAAACUUAAAUAAUUUGGCGGUAUUUUAGUUCAUUUAGAGGAAUCUGUUUAAUAAUUGAUAUUCCACGAAUAAAUUUACUUAAUUUUUAAUUUUGUAUAUCGUUGUUGUAAAAAUAUUUUUUAAUAAUAAUUAAUAUUUAAAAAUUAAUAUGAUAAUUUAAAUCAGAUCAAGAUGCAGAUUAUAAUUAAGAAUAUAAUGGAUUACAAUAAAUUUAUUUAAAUGAAUUUUAAUUUGUAAAUAAAUUAAUUGAAAGUGGAUUUAAAUGUAAUUUUAUUUAAUUUAAUAAAAUGAUUUAAAAUUAAAAUAUGU
rnacentral:rRNA from 1 species